CUGCCUCGUUCCUUGUGCGAGGUCACCAGCCCUGUCACACGGCUCCCAGCUAGUGCACGCUCCAGGGCCGCACAGCUCCUGCCUGCUCCUGAGCACGGCCAGGACACCCCUUUGCUUAGGUGCAGGUGGGAUUAAUUGUAAUCCCCUUGCAUUGGCCCUAAUGACAUUCUCCUGAGUGUCAUUAGCCUUAACUGCAAACUGGGAUGGGCUCUAUAUUACCCACCCCUCCAGGGCCCCCUGGGUCUGGGUGGAAGGAUGGUGCUGCUGGUGCCUGCAGAGAUCCUGUGCCUGGGAGGACCUGCAACGCUGGGAUGUCUGCACAGGGAGAAGGUAUGAGGUGGCCUAGAGACUGUCUGGACUGCAUAAAAAAGGAACAGAGAGUCAUCCUGUAUCAGCUCACACCGAGGAGGAAGGCUGUGGCACUGCAUGAGGAAGGAAGAAUACUACAUCUUACAAAGAUUUCUUUGCUGUGAAUUUAAAGGUAUCUAUUUAAUGUUUGUGUAAAUCCUGCUUGUGUGAAAAGGCAUUGGAGAGAUGUGGGGCUGAGAGGAGGUGCAGCACUCCAAAGCAGAUUCGUCCUAAAGGCAUUUACCCAUUUCAGAACCCCAGACUGCUGAUGACACAAAACUGUUUCAUUACAAGGAYUUGAAUUUACAGAAACUCCCUCUUUCUUACCACCAGCAUUUUGAAAUAAACACAUAACAUGCCAAGGUGAAUCCCA
rnacentral:lncRNA from 1 species